UACAGAGGUCUCAAGCGUUGUUCGGAUUCAUUGGGCGUAAAGGGUGCGUAGGCGGCGCGGUAAGUCGGGUGUGAAAUCUCGGAGCUUAACUCCGAAACUGCAUUCGAUACUGCCGUGCUUGAGGACUGGAGAGGAGACUGGAAUUUACGGUGUAGCGGUGAAAUGCGUAGAUAUCGGAAGGAACAUCAGUGGCGAAAGCGGCUUCCUGGACCAGAACUGACGAUCAGGCUCGAAAGCGUGGGGAGCAAACAGG
rnacentral:rRNA from 1 species